rnacentral:lncRNA from 1 species
CUGGCAUGCCAAGUGACUGUAGGCAAAGCGUAUGGUAAAAAUUCUGUGCUUUGUCAGCUUAAACUCUCUCUUUCCUUUAAAAUAAUGUUACAACUUUAAUUUAUUAGCACUUUCCUGUUCUCUAGGAAGACUCCUGUGUAUAUGAGUGUCAAUUUCCAGGCUCAGCUCCUGCUGUCCUUCGAAGCUAUGGAGGAGUUUGCUUUAUAAGGAAACAACUUCAGCAGAUGGUUUUCAUCACUGCUUCAAUACAAGCACUGUGACCAGAAGAAGAAGUAACGUGGCCAGGAAAUUUCUACCCCUCGGUCAACUUGGUAGCUGCAGUGGUCCAGCCCAAGGAAUAUAGAGGGAAGAUGCAGCAAAUUUCUUAAAGAUGUUUGGAAUAUGAGGAUGUCAGCCAAGUCUCAGAGAACUUGUUGGGGGCUAGUGGCAGCCCUACCUGCAUUUUCUGAUAAGUUCUCUUUUAGAGGGAUUCCCUUUCUAGAGACCUAAAGAGCUUCUCGUUAAUCAGACACUGCUUCUGGGGACAGCUGGAAAACAGAAGAAAAAGGAGGCCCAUCCACUUAGUGUUCCUCAGUAUGAUCUCAAGACUAAACAACUUGCACAGACUUACAAGGGGAGGCCAGUGUUACAAGUGUCAGCAGUGCACAUGCUCACAAUGUUUCAAGAAUGAAAAACUAAUACAACAGAAAAAUCAGACUCAAAAGAUUUGUAUUC